rnacentral:rRNA from 1 species
GACGAACGCUGGCGGCGUGCCUAAUACAUGCAAGUCGAACGCUGAAGGAGGAGCUUGCUUCUCUGGAUGAGUUGCGAACGGGUGAGUAACGCGUAGGUAACCUGCCUGGUAGCGGGGGAUAACUAUUGGAAACGAUAGCUAAUACCGCAUAAGAGUAGAUGUCGCAUGACAUUUGCUUAAAAGGUGCAAUUGCCUCACUACCAGAUGGCCCUGCGUUGUAUUAGCUAGUUGGUGAGGUAACGGCUCACCAAGGCAACGAUACAUAGCCGACCUGAGAGGGUGAUCGGCCACACUGGGACUGAGACACGGCCCAGACUCCUACGGGAGGCAGCAGUAGGGAAUCUUCGGCAAUGGACGGAAGUCUGACCGAGCAACGCCGCGUGAGUGAAGAAGGUUUUCGGAUCGUAAAGCUCUGUUGUAAGAGAAGAACGAGUGUGAGAGUGGAAAGUUCACACUGUGACGGUAUCUUACCAGAAAGGGACGGCUAACUACGUG